rfam:Clostridium autoethanogenum DSM 10061, complete genome.
AAGACCUUUAAAACUAGUCCUGUGAGACUAGGAAGGCAUAUGUAGAAUAUAAAAUUAUUAUAUUAUGGUAUAAUAAUGCCUUCCUUAAAGGAAGGCAUUUUUUUAC